CGAGGGCGGAGACCAUGUCCCUCCUCUAUCUAAGGACCCCUAGAGUUGGAGACUUCGAACCCUUCCUCCCCUGUUUUGCUGAAACAGAGAAGGGCCUGGUUUAUAGGUCUGUCUGACCCAGUGACCGGCUCCCCUCUGCUCCCACUCUUGCCUCUCCUCCCUUGUAAACAUCACAGGCAAGACGUGCUGACCAAAAGUCCUGCUACAGGCUGCUUUGUCACCACCUCCCUCCAGGCCUGGGGCCAGAGCAGUGACUGUGGCCAAGUGGAAUUGCUGGGGCAGGAAGGAUCUUGGAAGUGCUCUGUGGAGUUGGCUUCUAUCCUCUGGGCUUUGCUGUUACUCUUCUGUCUUGGCCUCUCUUCCCCAGCCUCUGAUCUCCUGGGUCUGCGGUGACUCUGGGACUCCAAAUGGGGGGGUACUCCUGCUAUCCCUGGGAGAGUAUUUGAGCAAGAUUUCCACUCUACAGGCUGAAGAAGGAGUCACAUCCAUCCCUGCCUUCCUGACCAAGGCUGAAAUGGGCUACAGUGUUGAGUUGCAGCAGAGACCCUGUGGCAUCCAAAACCUAGGAUAUUUACUAUCUGGUCCUUUAGAAGUUUGCUGGUCCUUGAGGUAAGAGGAAAGAAUUCAUUGUUCCAAGUCCUGGAUCUACACUUGCUUAUCUAAUCUGCCUUCCCGAGUCUUCAUUUCUCAUCUGUGAAAUGGGAAUCAAUUACCUCUGCCAACUAACCACCAAACUCAUGGAGGACUUACGAUACUGAAUACCUUAACGGAUAUCAAAAUGUAAAGAGUUAAACAAAGACUACCUAUUAUUAGGGCUCUUUCAUAAGCAUAUGGUAAAAGGGAGAAGACAAUGAAAGUUGUUUUUUCUCAAUAGAGGUCAAGAGGAAAUAAAUAAUAGAUGAUUGCUAAAAAGUACAUUGAUUUGUGUCAGCUAAUGUAUACUUUUGAGACAAGCUAAGCUGAAUUAUUAAAAUUAAAGGGAAAGAAAUAACAGUCAUAGCUGUCUUGAGAGAGAUUGAAGACUGUCAAGUGUGAGGUCCAACGGUGUGUUGGGGCAGCCAGAGGGGAUUCAGGUAUUGGCCGAGCCACUCAGGAG